AUUGAACGCUGGCGGCAGGCCUAACACAUGCAAGUCGAACGGUAACAGGAAGAAGCUUGCUUCUUUGCUGACGAGUGGCGGACGGGUGAGUAAUGUCUGGGAAACUGCCUGAUGGAGGGGGAUAACUACUGGAAACGGUAGCUAAUACCGCAUAACGUCGCAAGACCAAGGAGGGGGACCUUCGGGCCUCUUGCCAUCGGAUGUGCCCAGAUGGGAUUAGCUAGUAGGUGGGGUAACGGCUCACCUAGGCGACGAUCCCUAGCUGGUCUGAGAGGAUGACCAGCCACACUGGAACUGAGACACGGUCCAGACUCCUACGGGAGGCAGCAGUGGGGAAUAUUGCACAAUGGGCGCAAGCCUGAUGCAGCCAUACCGCGUGUAUGAAGAAGGCCUUCGGGUUGUAAAGUACUUUCAGCGGGGAGGAAGGGAGUAAAGUUAAUACCUUUACUCAUUGACGUUACCCGCAGAAGAAGCACCGGCUAACUCCGUG
rnacentral:rRNA from 1 species